GACGAACGCUGGCGGCGUGCUUAACACAUGCAAGUCGAACGGAAAGGCCCUGCUUUUGUGGGUUGCUCGAGUGGCGAACGGGUGAGUAACACGUGAGUAACCUGCCCUUGACUUUCGGAUAACUUCAGGAAACUCGGGCUAAAACCGGAUAUGAGCUCCUGCUCCAUGGGGGGGGUUGGAAAGUUUCGGCGUUUGGGGAUGGACUCGCGGCUUAUCAGCUUGUUUGUGGGGUAGUGGCUUACCAAGGCUUUGACGGGUAGCCUGCCUGGGAGGGUGACCGGCGACAAUGGGACUGCGAUACGGACCAGUCUGCUACGGGCGGCAGCAGUCGGGAAUAUUGCACAAUGGGGGCAAGCCUGAUGCGGCAGCGCCGCGUGCGGGAUGACGGCUUUUGGGUUGUGAACCGAUUUCGCAUGUGCCGAAGAGGUCGUGACGGUACUGGGUCAAGAAGCACCGGCUAACUACGUG
rnacentral:rRNA from 1 species